rnacentral:rRNA from 1 species
UACGUAGGUGGCAAGCGUUGUCCGGAAUUACUGGGCGUAAAGAGCGCGCAGGCGGCUGGUCAAGUCCGAUGUGAAAGCUUCCGGCUUAACUGGGAAAUUGCAUCGGAAACUGAUCGGCUUGAAGGUGGGAGAGGGUAGUGGAAUUCCCGGUGUAGUGGUGAAAUUCGUAGAUAUUCGGAAGAACACCAGUGGCGAAGGCGACUUACUGGACACAUAUUGACGCUGAGGUGCGAAAGCGUGGGGAGCAAACAGG